AGCAGUGUGGCAUAGUGGUAAGGAGCAUGGCUGGUAACCAAAGGAGUCGCAGGUUCGAUUCCCUGCUGAGACACUGCUG